CUUGCAUGGGUCUUACGCUCCUUCUAAGCCUUCAUCUUUGAUGAUGCAUGAUCUGCAGGAGAAACUGGGACCUUUCAUCACAAAGCUAAACAAGCACAUGACUCAGUUGCUGGAGAGGCUGAAGGAAGAUUCAGCAGGAGCUAGAGUGGCUACAGGCCUGGCUGCCACACUGUGCCAUCAAGCUUGGCUUAGAAAAUCCAGC
rnacentral:lncRNA from 10 species